rnacentral:rRNA from 1 species
UACGUAGGGUGCAAGCGUUGUCCGGAAUUAUUGGGCGUAAAGAGCUCGUAGGCGGUCUGUCGCGUCUGCUGUGAAAACUGGAGGCUCAACCUCCAGCCUGCAGUGGGUACGGGCAGACUAGAGUGCGGUAGGGGAGACUGGAAUUCCUGGUGUAGCGGUGGAAUGCGCAGAUAUCAGGAGGAACACCGAUGGCGAAGGCAGGUCUCUGGGCCACUACUGACGCUGAGAAGCGAAAGCAUGGGGGAGCGAACAGG